rnacentral:rRNA from 1 species
AUUGAACGCUGGCGGAAUGCUUUACACAUGCAAGUCGAACGGCAGCACGGACUUCGGUCUGGUUGCGAGUGGCGAACGGGUGAGUAAUGUAUCGGAACGUGCCCAGUCGUGGGGGAUAACGUAGUGAAAAUUACGCUAAUACCGCAUACGAUGUAUGGAUGAAAGCGGGAGAUCGCAAGACCCCGCGCGAUGGCAGCUGCCGAUAGCAGUUUAGGUCGGUGGUGGGGUAAAGGACCACCAAGACAACGAUCUGUAGCUGGUCUGCGAGGACGAACAGCCAAAGUAGAACUGAGACACGGUCCAGACUACUACGGGAGGCAGCAGUGGGGCAUUUUGGACAAUGGGCGAAAGCCUGAUCCAGCCAUUCCGCGUGCAGGAUGAAGGCCCUCGGGUUGUAAACUGCUUUUGUACAGAACGAAAAGGUUUCUACUAAUACUAGGAGCUCAUGACGGUACUGUAAGAAGAAGCACCGGCUAACUACGUGCCAGCAGCCGCCGUAA